AUUGAACGCUGGCGGCAGGCUUAACACAUGCAAGUCGAACGAGUGGCGGACGGGUGAGUAAUGCUUGGGAAUCUAGCUUAUGGAGGGGGAUAACUACGGGAAACUGUAGCUAAUACCGCGUACCAUAGGAUGAGCCCAAGUGGGAUUAGGUAGUUGGUGAGGUAACGGCUCCCCAAGCCGACGAUCUCUAGCGGGUCUGAGAGGAUGACCGGCACAACGGGGACGGAGAAACGGCCAGGACGCCUACGGGAGGCAGCAGUGGGGAAUAUUGCGCAAUGGGGGCAACCUGACGAAGCCAUGCCGCGUGAAUGAAGAAGGCCUUCGGGUUGUAAAGUUCGUUCGGUAGCGAGGCGUUAACGACAGAAGAAGCACCGGCUAACUCCGUGCCAGCAGCCGCGGUAAUUC
rnacentral:rRNA from 1 species